GCCAGGCGCAAGUUCCCGUCUUUCACGGAGUGAACUGGAGCAAACUGACAUUUACCACUGAUGUGACUAAUGAGCUGCUGUGGCUGUAGAGCUCUGGAAAAUACUCCUCCUCCCGCAUUAACUGUGCUAUAGGAGUUUGUGUCCUUGCAAAGGGGACCAGUCCAGUCGCUGUUUUCUACGAUUCACAGCUUGAUCCUGUACAAGGCUGGGUCCGUGUCAACACACUGUCUCCUCGUGGUGAGACUGCACUGGGUGACACUCGCGGUGUGUAUGUAGCCUCGACACUGUAGAUUUUGUAGAGACUUGCAUGAUAUUUUGCAGUGAAUCGUGUAG